AGUGAACGCUGGCGGUAGGCCUAACACAUGCAAGUCGAACGGCAGCACAGUAAGAGCUUGCUCUUACGGGUGGCGAGUGGCGGACGGGUGAGGAAUACAUCGGAAUCUACUUUUUCGUGGGGGAUAACGUAGGGAAACUUACGCUAAUACCGCAUACGACCUACGGGUGAAAGCAGGGGAUCUUCGGACCUUGCGCGACUGAAUGAGCCGAUGUCGGAUUAGCUAGUUGGCGGGGUAAAGGCCCACCAAGGCGACGAUCCGUAGCUGGUCUGAGAGGAUGAUCAAGCCACAUGGAACUGGAGCAACGUCCAGGAUCCUAAGGGAGGGCAGCAUGGGGGAUAAUUGGACAAGGGCGGAAGGCUGGAUCAAGCCAUCCGGGUGGGGUGAAGAAGGCCUUCGGUUGGUAAGCCCUUUUGUUGGGAAAGAAAAGCAGCAGGUUAAUACCCCGCUGUUCUGACGGUACCCAAAGAAUAAGCACCGGCUAACUUCGUG
rnacentral:rRNA from 1 species